UCUGUCUCUCUCUCAAAAAUAAAUAAACAUUAAAAAAAAAAAAAGACCAUGAAUGUGUCCCCAGACCUACUUCUUUCCCUAGUCUGAUUUUUUAAUGCUGGUGAUAAAC
ensembl:snoRNA SNORA72 Small nucleolar RNA SNORA72